rnacentral:rRNA from 1 species
UACGUAGGGUGCAAGCGUUAAUCGGAAUUACUGGGCGUAAAGCGUGCGCAGGCGGCUCCUUAAGUCAGAUGUGAAAGCCCCGGGCUUAACCUGGGAACUGCGUUUGAAACUGGGGGGCUAGAGUGUGGAAGAGGGGGGUGGAAUUCCAGGUGUAGCAGUGAAAUGCGUAGAGAUCUGGAGGAACACCGAUGGCGAAGGCAGCCCCCUGGGCUAACACUGACGCUCAUGCACGAAAGCGUGGGGAGCAAA